UACGGGGGGGGCAAGCGUUGUUCGGAAUUACUGGGCGUAAAAGGGCUCGUAGGCGGCCAACUAAGUCAGACGUGAAAUCCCUCGGCUUAACCGGGGAACUGCGUCUGAUACUGGAUGGCUUGAGGUUGGGAGAGGGGAUGCGGAAUUCCAGGUGUAGCGGUGAAAUGCGUAGAUAUCUGGAGGAACACCGGUGGCGAAGGCGGCAUCCUGGACCAAUUCGUGACGCUGAGGAGCGAAAGCCAGGGGAGCAAACGGGG
rnacentral:rRNA from 1 species